rnacentral:rRNA from 1 species
GAUGAACGCUGGCGGCAUGCCUAACACAUGCCAGUCGAGCGAGCGGCGGACGGGUGAGUAAUGUCUGGGAAACUGCCUGAUGGAGGGGGAUAACUACUGGAAACGGUAGCUAAUCCCGCAUACCAUCAGAUGUGCCCAGAUGGGAUUAGCUAGUGGGUGGGGUAACGGCUCACCUAGGCGACGAUCCCUAGCUGGUCUGAGAGGAUGACCAGCCACACUGGAACUGAGACACGGUCCAGACUCCUACGGUAGGCAGCAGUGGGGAAUAUUGCACAAUGGGCGCAAGCCUGAUGCAGCCAUGCCGCGGGUAUGAAGAAGGCCUUCGGGGUGUAAAGUACGUUCAGCGGGGAGGCGUUACCCGCAGAAGAAGCACCGGCUAACUCCGUGCCAGCCGCCGCGGUAAUUC